ensembl:lncRNA
UGGACUGUAGCCCACCAGGCUCCUCUGUCCAUGGGAUUUUCCAGGCAAGAGUACUGGACUGGGUUGCCAUUCCCUUCUCCAGGGGAUCUUCCCGACCCAGGGAUUGAACCCGGGUCUCCCACAUUGCAGGCAGACGCUUUACCAUCUGAGCCACCAGGGAAGCCCUGAGAUGGGGAAGCAGAUGGCAAAGCACACUGGUACCUCCGAGGCCCGCCUUUCCUAGGUGAGGAAAGCAAGACUCAGAGAGGUGAGGUCACUUGCCCAGGGUGACCCAGCUGGUAACGGGAAGCGCCACACUCUGGGCCGUCCAGAAGGAGAUUCUUAUCAUGAUCUACGCUCAAUGGCCAAACCCUUCUCCAUCCUCCUGCAGACAGAUACCAGCUUUGAAAAGCAGAAUGCAGUCAAUGUGAUGCUGUGGGACGUCUGAGAUCUGAGGCCUCUACAUUCACCCUUCCUGGAGUGCUCCUUCUUGGAAGCCAGCUGCCAUGUGAAAAGCCGCCAUAGUGUGAGGAAGCCCAAGAGAGGGGGAGGACAAGAGAGAGAGGCCAGUGGAGGAGCACUGAGGUGCCUGACCUACUGAGUAACGUUUUCUGGUCUCGCACACAGUUGUCAGCUGGAUUGUGUCUCCCCAGAGUUUGUACAUUGAAGUCCCACUGCUGCUGUUGUCGUUGUUCAGUUUCCAAGUCGUGUCCGACUCUUCGUGACCCAGUGGACUGCAGCACACCAGGCCUCUCUGUCCUUCACCAUCUCCCGGAAUUUGCCCGAGUUCAUGUCCAUCGAAUUGGUGGUGCCAUCCAACCAUUUCAUCUUCUGUCUCCCUUUUCUCCUUCUGCCUUCAGCCUUUCCCAGGAUAUUCUAGACAUUUCUCUUUCUCAAAGUCUUCAACUAAAACCACAAGUGCUG